rnacentral:rRNA from 1 species
UACAGAGGGGGCAAGCGUUGUUCGGAAUUACUGGGCGUAAAGGGCGCGUAGGCGGCCGCCUAAGUCAGACGUGAAAUCCCUCGGCUCAACCGGGGAACUGCGUCUGAUACUGGGUGGCUUGAAUCCGGGAGAGGGAUGCGGAAUUCCAGGUGUAGCGGUGAAAUGCGUAGAUAUCUGGAGGAACACCGGUGGCGAAGGCGGCAUCCUGGACCGGUAUUGACGCUGAGGAGCGAAAGCCAGGGGAGCAAACGGG